rnacentral:tRNA from 2 species
UAGCUCAGUCGGUAGAGCAGAGGACUGAAAAUCCUCGUGUCGCUGGUUCGAUUCCGGCUCUGGG